rnacentral:rRNA from 1 species
UUCGAAGGUACGCUAAUUACGGUCGGACAUCGUGAUGAUAGUGCAAUGGCAUAAGCGUGCUUAACUGCGAGACUGACAAGUCGAGCAGGUACGAAAGUAGGACAUAGU